CCCUACGGGGCGCAGCAGGCAUCUUGUAGAAUCACUUGAUCACACCUCGGGGAAAUGCCAAAGACUAGUACUAAAGUACCAGGCCUAAUAGCCUAAUAGUGUGCAAGAGAAUGGUGUAAUCACCUGUCUCUGUAACGCAAUAUAGCGUAUUCAGCUCAGGGCGCAUUGUGUUAUAAUAUAGAUAAUAUUAGGUUAUUUUGGAAAAAUAACCAUUGCAAUCUCAUUUGUUUUCAGCUAUACUGGGCAAUGUGGAGCGCCUCGUUGGCUGGGAACUCAUGAGGUGCUCGAGGCAGCAGGGCUCUGCAUGGCUAAGCUGCAAUACCCCCCUGAUGCUAUGCCCGCUGAGGAGUGAGGAGGUGAGUCGCGUACCAAGUUAGCAUCGGUUAUUGUCAGCCAUCAGUAGUAGGAAGAAGCUCUAAUUUUAUUUGGGGAGAGC
rnacentral:rRNA from 1 species